GAUGAACGCUAGCUACAGGCUUAACACAUGCAAGUCGAGGGGCAUCAGGAAGAAAGCUUGCUUUCUUUGCUGGCGACCGGCGCACGGGUGAGUAACACGUAUCCAACCUUCCGUUUACUCAGGGAUAGCCUUUCGAAAGAAAGAUUAAUACCUGAUAGUAUCGAGAGAUUGCAUGAUAGCCCGAUUAAAGACCUAUCGGUAAACGAUGGGGAUGCGUUCCAUUAGCUUGUUGGCGGGGUAACGGCCCACCAAACCUACGAUGGAUAGGGGUUCUGAGAGGAAGGUCCCCCACAUUGGAACUGAGACACGGUCCAA
rnacentral:rRNA from 1 species